rnacentral:rRNA from 1 species
UUUGACAUGUACGGAAUCCUUUAGAGAUAGAGGAGUGCUCGAAAGAGAGCCGUAACACAGGUGCUGCAUGGCUGUCGUCAGCUCGUGUCGUGAGAUGUUGGGUUAAGUCCCCGCAACGAGCGCAACCCUUGUCAUUAGUUGCUACGAAAGGGCACUCUAAUGAGACUGCCGGUGACAAACCGGAGGAAGGUGGGGAUGACGUCAAGUCCUCAUGGCCCUUAUGGCCAGGGCUUCACACGUAAUACAAUGGUCGGUACAGAGGGUUGCCAAGCCGCGAGGUGGAGCCAAUCCCAGAAAGCCGAUCGUAGUCCGGAUUGUAGUCUGCAACUCGACUACAUGAAGUCGGAAUCGCUAGUAAUCGCGGAUCAGCAUGUCGCGGUGAAUACGUUCCCGGGCCUU